rnacentral:rRNA from 1 species
CGGCCGCGUCGACCGAAUGCGUAACGACUUCCCACUGUCUCAACUGUAGAUCCAGCGAAAUUGGUGAGCGCGUGAAGAAACGCGCUACCCGCGGAAGGACGAAAAGACCCCGUGAACCUUUACUGUAACUUGGCAUUGGGUUUCGAUUAAGCAUGCGUAGGAUAGGUGGGAGCUUUUGAUCUGUGCGUUCCGGCGUACAGGGAGGCAACCUUGAAAUACCACCCUUGCUUAAUUGGAAUCCUAACCUGCGGUCCUAAUCGGGCCGGGGGACAAUGUCUGGUGGGCAGUUUGACUGGGGCGGUCGCCUCCUAAAGAGUAACGGAGGCGCACGAAGGUUCCCUCAGCCUGAAUAGGAAACCAGGCGUAGAGUAGUAAACGACAUAAGGGAGCUUGACUGCGAGACAAACACGUCGAGCAGUCGAAGGCACACGAGGGGAGUAGG